rnacentral:rRNA from 1 species
UGAGGAAUAUUGGUCAAUGGACGCAAGUCUGAACCAGCCAUGCCGCGUGCAGGAUGACGGCUCUAUGAGUUGUAAACUGCUUUUGUACGAGGGUAAUAUCAGAUACGUGUAUCUGCAUGAAAGUAUCGUACGAAUAAGGAUCGGCUAACUCCGUGCCAGCAGCCGCGGUAAUACGGAGGAUCCAAGCGUUAUCCGGAUUUAUUGGGUUUAAAGGGUGCGUAGGCGGUUUUAUAAGUUAGAGGUGAAAAUUCGGGGCUCAACUCCGGACGUGCCUCUAAUACUGUAUGACUAGAGAAUAGAUGC